AAGAAAAUUUGUUAGGUCACUGCUAAUGAUCUGCUGUCAGUUAAUUUUGACUUUUCUUU
rnacentral:tRNA from 1 species